CGCAUUAAGCACUCCGCCUGGGGAGUACGACCGCAAGGUUGAAACUCAAAGGAAUUGACGGGGGCCCGCACAAGCGGUGGAGCAUGUGGUUUAAUUCGAAGCAACGCGAAGAACCUUACCAGGUCUUGACAUCCUUUGACCACUCUAGAGAUAGAGCUUUCCCUUCGGGGACAAAGUGACAGGUGGUGCACGGUUGUCGUCGCCUCGUG
rnacentral:rRNA from 1 species